rnacentral:lncRNA from 1 species
UUUAAUUGCAUUAUAUUUCAUAUAUACCAUAUAGUGGCAUUGUGUAAAUGGUCUCUUAACCGAUUUACUCUACUAUACGUAUUAAUUAUGCAUCCUUGAAGUUUGCAUAUUGUUACGUCCGGCGGGGUUAGGAUCGCGUAAGAUAUUAAUAUAUUUUUUGGUCUCUAUAUUUUAUGAAGCUUUCCUGCCGAGCGAUAACAGGAAAGGUUGAUAGUUGGAGUGUCGAAGGAAAUUGAAUCUUUAAAAUACGCUUAGAUAAAUUUUUAUUUUCUUUAUUUCUUUUAUUGCUUUAUACACUUUUCUGCACCUCUUUUGAUUGCAUUAUAUUUCAUAUAUAAUGGCAUUGUGUAAAUGGAUGGUCUCUUAACCGAUUUACUCCACUGUACGUAUUGAUCAUGCAUCCUUCAAGUUUGCAUAUUGUUACGUCUGGCGGGGUUAGGAUCGCGUAAGAUUUUUUUUUUCUUUAUAUUAUUCUAUGUUUCCUUGCCGAGUGGUAACAGGGAAGGUUGAUAGUUGAAGUGUCGAAGAAAAUUGAAUCUUUAAAAUACGUCUAGGUAAAUUUUCAUUGUCUUUACUUCUUUUAUUGCUUUACCCCUAAUAGGAUUAUUCUGGCCGGAAUGCGAGUCCCGGGGAGGAGCGGCCUAAUAGAUACAAUCACGGGCUUAAAAUGUUCCCGAUCCCGCGGAUUCCUCGGGAGCGGUUACUCGGGUUUGCUGGUAGGUGGAAUCGGGGCCCCAGUGUCGGAUGGGUUGGGGGGAGGGUGAUGUGUGUAGCGGUGGUGCCUCUGGAGCAGGUGGAACCGACCGAUUAAGGACUCAAGAGUCGGUCUCUCCGUCUUUAGGUAGUCGAUGAGCCUUUUCAAUUGGACGCGUUGUCCACCGCGACGAGACUUUCCCAUCUGUUACGGGGAAUGCCAUUUUUUAAUCCUCGAUUAAUUUAAUUAAUAUUUAAUCGAAUGUUGAAUAGGAGAUGAACAUCCCAUUUAAACAGGUGUUUCUCAAAGUAUCGUAAUUUUUCCCAUUUGUAAAUUAUAAACGGGAUAUUCCUAUUCGCAAUAUUUCUGGAUUGCGUAAUUAUGUAGAAGUUUUUGAUUUUAUUAAUAAUAAAAUGAUUUUUCAAUUAGAUUUGUUUACAUAAAUAUUUGUUUGUUUUAAAACUAAUUCUACCAGUUAAGCUUCUCUGCUCCCCAAACUUCCAACAAACUCUGUUAGAGGUUGAUUUUGGUAAGUCUAUAGCUAGUUUAUAAGCCUGACAUUAGUAUUUUUUCAAUAAUUUUAACGUAUGUACAAGCAGCAUUAAUAUACCACAAACAUCCCCAUUCAAUUUGAGCACCUAUUGUCGCGUUUAUAAAGUUUAUACAUUGUCGAGGACUAAUUCCCCACGUUGGACCAGCUAACUUUUUCAGGAUAUUAACGUAUCGCAUUGCUUUAGUUUUUAGUGAGUUGAUGUGGAAUUUCCAUCUGAGGCUCUCGUCCAUGACCAGACCUAAAUAUCUGAUUUUAGUUUGUAGUUCAAUACCACUCUGCUCCAAACUCUGUCCUUCUGUGUUGGAUGAUAAUCUUUCUAUUGAAUAUAAUACAUUGGGUCUGGGAAAUAGAUAUAUCUAGUCCAAUGGAACUUAUCCAUGUAUUUAAGCGUUCAAAUGCGUACGACAAUGAGCUCUUUAUCGGGUCAGUCUUGGGAUUUGAACAAAUUAUGGCAAUAUCGUCCGCAAAUUGGAUUGUCUGACAAUUAUAUGGUACUUGUCAAAGGAUAUCCUUGACAUACAAAUUAAACAUAAGAGGGCUUAGACUUGAACCUUGUAGUAAUCUUUUUUGUAUUAAUCUGUUCUCAUACCAUACUCGCGAUUCAAAAAAAUCGGCGUUUGUUGGGCUUAACUAGUUUCUAAAGUUUCUGUGCUGGCGAUGUGUGUUGCAGCGCGCGUACGCGCGUGGUAUCUUUGUGCUUAGAUUGGUUGCGGCGGGGCGCAUGGUCCGUGCGUCGAUCGGUCGGCACGCUGAUUAGCGGCAGCGGUCGGUCUCGGUACAUGCGGCGCUCGUGGCGAUGCAGUUACGACUGCGCGGUGCGAGGCGGCUUUCAUGUCGGUCGCGGCGGUGCGCGGCUGCGCGGUACGGCGCGGAGCUCUGUUCGGUAACCACGGCGAUCAGCUGUCACGGCGAUCAGCUGUUCCCGUUAGAAAUCAUUCUGCGUGGAUGAUCUUUCGCGAAGUCGGUUUCCCCUCAAUACGGGGUCCCCGUGAACAAUGUCAGGAUCGGUUGCUCAGUGCGCGAACCAGGAUCCGGGUGACGAGCGGGGCGAUGAAUUGCCACUCAAUGCGUGGCGCGAGAAAGCGCUCAAUGCGCGCUGUCAAGGAAGUCGAGUUGUGGUUAUGUGGCACUUAGUUCGUGCUCCAGGAGUCCAGGGGCUGUAAUCUCUUAUGUAUUUUUCGUGACCAGCGUUUGUUGCGCCACCGCUGUAAGCGAACCCGCCGAACCGAACUAAAAUGCAAUAUGGCCGUCUACAAUCAACAUGGCCGUAGUAAUGAGUUCCGUUCAACAAGCAAAGUAAAGUGAAGCAAAGCUUACGAGCGAAGAAGGAGGUUAUUUCUUACGAACGGAAUAAUUUAAAACUGAUGGCACCAGUAGCUGUUCCAAUGUGUACACCAGCCUUCGACACCAUAUAGAAUAAAGAUGCUGUCAGAGGAGUUAGAUGAGGGAGCUACAACCAAGAAAAAGCAAUCUGUGAUCACAUUACUUAGCUUCGACAAACAAUGACCUAAGUUCAACUGAUUGUAGGCUCUUACGUCCACGUGGAAUCAGCUGCUCCUUUGCAACUUGCAACAGGCUAAGGCUGCGUUCCGAUAUUAAUUGUCAGUACUGAAAAUCUACAGUAUAUGUGACGUAAACUAUAGAUUUUCAGUACUGGCAGUGAAUAUCGAAACGCAGCCUAAGUUACGAAGAAGCAGCUGAUUCCACAUGAACGUAAGAAAGAGGCUACAAUCAGUUGAACUUUGGUCAUCGUUUGUCGAAGCUAAUGGGUGUCAAGACAAAUCACUUGAAUGCAAACUACUUUCCAGUAUGUUGUAGCAUAAGAAAGCAAGAAAAUUGUAUUGGAGGAGAAACAACGUGAUUUAGAGAAUAAGGUGCUCUGUCACAUAGAAUGUAAUUCUAUUAUAAAAACAUGUAAUGGUUCCAUAAAAUAAAUAAGUUCAAAAAA